GUUAGAGCCAGUGUGUGUAUGUAAGAGUUAGUGUGUGUGUGUGUGUGUGUGUAAGAGUUAGUGUGUGUGUGUAUGUAAGAGUUAGUGUGUGUGUUAGAGCCAGUGUAUGUGUGUGUGUGUGUGUUAAUGUGUGUGUGUUAGAGCCAGUGUGUGUAUGUAAGAGUUAGUGUGUGUGUGUGUGUGUAAGAGUUAGUGUGUGUGUGUGUGUAAGAGUUAGUGUGUGUGUGUGUAAGAGUUAGUGUGUGUGUAUGUAAGAGUUAGUGUGUGUGUUAGAGCCAGUGUAUGUGUGUGUGUGUGUUAAUGUGUGUGUGUUAGAGCCAGUGUGUGUAUGUAAGAGUUAG